rnacentral:rRNA from 1 species
UACGGAGGGUGCAAGCGUUAAUCGGAAUUACUGGGCAUAAAGCGUGCGCAGGCGGUUUGCUAAGUCCGUUGUGAAAGCCCCGAGCUCAACUUGGGAAUUGCAGUGGAUACUGGCAGGCUGGAGUACGGUAGAGGAAGGUGGAAUUCCCGGUGUAGCAGUGAAAUGCGUAGAUAUCGGGAGGAACACCAGUGGCGAAGGCGGCCUUCUGGACCAGUACUGACGCUCAUGCACGAAAGCGUGGGGAGCAAACAGG